CGAGCUGUUGUGAAUCCUGCCCACUUCUUUGCAUGGUCAGCACAUGCUUCAGUGCUCUGAGAGUGUUUAUAGAGCUGUGAGUUUAACACUUCAUGACUGAGAGCAGAACAGAACACAAUCUUCAUCAUCACACAAGACACAACAACAACAAUGAACAACAUCAUCAUCCUCAUCUGGACCAUUGCAGCUUUUAUUCAAGAAUCCAGAGGAAUCACUGUGACUCAGCCUAAAGUUAAAACUGUCCAGCUCGGUCAAACAGCUACAAAAGAGUGUAGUACAGAUCCAGGAAUAUAUUAUAGCAACUUAGCCUGGUAUCAGCAGAAACCUGGAGAAGCUCCUAAACUCCUCAUAUAUCAAAUAAAAACCCUCCAGUCAGGAACUCCAUCUAGAUUCAGUGGCAGUGGAUCUAGCGGAGGAAAAGAUUUCACUCUGACCAUCAGUGGAGUCCAGACUGAAGAUACAGGAGAUUAUUACUGUCAGAGUGAACACUGGAUCAGUAGUAGCUGGGUGUUCACACAGUGAUAAAGAGUCGUACAAAAACCUCCGUCAGUCAGAGUCACAGUGACUGCACUGAUACAGCUGAGAGACACUGCAGCUUGAGGAGAUACAGUUUGUAACAAACAGCAGUUUCAUCACAAUACAAUAUAACAUAGAUUCUUGUUUUUUAUUAUAUGAUUUGACAUUUGUUAUUAUAGCAAAACAUGUCACGAUAAGAUUAUGAUUUGAUUAACACAGCACACAUUACAGCCAUAAAUAA